UACGUAGGCAGCGAGCGUUGUUCGGAGUUACUGGGCGUAAAGGGUGCGUAGGCGGUUGUUUAAGUUUGGUGUGAAAUCUCCCGGCUCAACUGGGAGGGUGCGCCGAAUACUGAAUGACUAGAGUGCGGGAGAGGAUAGUGGAAUUCCUGGUGUAGCGGUGAAAUGCGUAGAUAUCUGGAGGAACACCGGUGGCGAAGGCGGCAUCCUGGACCAACACUGACGCUGAGGAGCGAAAGCCAGGGGAGCAAACGGG
rnacentral:rRNA from 1 species